rnacentral:ncRNA from 1 species
CAGAGUAGGAUUCUGUGCGUUAAGUGCCUGCCGAACGGGGAGUUGUCGGUUGGACGAAAAAGGCUCAAAACCUUUGCGGUGCAGAAUUCGCAUCCCGCUG